rnacentral:rRNA from 1 species
GGGGAAUUGUUCGCAAUGGGCGCAAGCCUGACGACGCAACGCCGCGUGGAGGAUGAAGAUUUUCGGAUCGUAAACUCCUGUCGAAUGGGACGAACAGAUUGCGGGUUAACAGCCCGCGAUCCUGACGGUACCGUUAAGGGAAACCCCGGCUAACUCCGUGCCAGCAGCCGCGGUAAUACGGGGGGGGUAAGCGUUGUUCGGAAUUACUGGGCGUAAAGGGUGCGUAGGCGGUCUUGUGCGUCGGUGCUGAAAGCGCCCGGCUUAACCGGGCGAGGCGUGCCGAUACGAUAAGACUUGAGGGGCAGCGAGGGUGGCGGAACUCCUGGUGUAGUGGUGAAAUGCGUAGAGAUCAGGAAGAACACCCGUGGCGCAAGCGGCCACCUGGCUGCCAACUGACGCUGAGGCACGAGAGCGUGGGGAGCGAA